rnacentral:lncRNA from 1 species
AUAGUCCGCUAUUCUGCAGUGAUUUUCUUCCAAUCCAGUAUCAUUUGUACGUUGCAGCAUCAUCGAACACUAUGACCCAUGAAUCAGAAGAUAACGUAGAUGCUACGAGAGAGCUCAUUUCACAAUGGACAACAGAAGUGUUACGUGACUUUCUACAAGGAGGGGACUCAAGCUUGGAAAUCGAGUACCGGUAGUCAUUAUUUUAUGGGUGUUCUCUGCCUUGACUCUGGGGGUACUGUUCAGCCAUCCGAGGUAGAGAUAAACUGGACGAUGGAUGGAGAGGGGGCGGGGGGGGGGGGGGAGAAAGGCAUGCAGACUGCAGAGCUGGUCGUCUACUAUGUAUAGAGACAUUUGUGUGUACCUAGUAGAUAAGGACCCUCCAUCACUAGAGGGAAGAAUGAGAGACUACAAAGAGGUAAAGGCAUUUAGUUAUUUUGCCAGUUUCUGGUUAGGGAGAUAUUUUUUUCAUCUCGUGGGAGAAAGCUGUCUGUAAUUCAAAAUCAUUUGAUACUUGAAUAAAUUUAGUUCAUUUUCUAGACUGUUUCAUGUCAAACCGUUGAUUCUACUUUCUUGUGAGUAUAGUCAGAGAGAUAGAGAAGUAACACGAGUAAA